rnacentral:miRNA from 1 species
UAGGGUGGCCAGCUGUCCUGGUUUGCCUGGGACUGAGUUUUCUUGGGAUGCAGGACUUUCAGUGCCAGAAUCAGGAUGGUC